AGUUGAAGGAGAGAGGCACCAACCGUGGGAUAUUGUUCAUGUCACUUAUCCUAAAUUUCAUUUUUUCACCAUCCUAUAUGCAGCCUCUGGAAGUGAUUUGCCCUCUUCACUGACUUUGGACAGACCACGGAUCCAAGGCUCUGAUUAGAUGGCUUAAGGGAUAUUUUGAAAGUCUGGAGGUGAGUCUGGGCAUGUCUAUGUGGAUAGGCCCAGACAAGUACGCUCAUCUGCCAUGCUCUGAGCUGAUCGAAUGGGAGCCAGUUCUGCUCUGGAAAUCAUUGAGACAUUCUCCUGCAGCUUCGUGCCCAUGCUAACAUGCCCUGCAGAGGAGACCACAUCUGUCUGCACUGAUCUGUGUAGGCAUGCCCCCCUGCUGCCCCUGAAUUCUUGGAGGAAUUCUGGCUGGUGCAGAUUUCCUCCUGGAGCAUUAGCAAAAAGCAUGCUGGAGCACCGGUCUCAUGCCACCUUCAAAGAGUGCUCCCUUGGCCCCAUCUAUGGGGCCAGUCCUCCUGGCGCUGGUGUUGUCCCUUGGAAGACCCCAGGUGUUCUGGGUGCCUGACGCUUAUAACUGUGGACAGCUGUUUUGUGGAACACAAGUGGGAUGGAAAAAGUCAAGUAUCUUUUUCCCCUUUUCUCACAUUAGUGGAAAAAGAGCUUUCAGUCAUGCUUGAGAGACUAUUUUUGCACACAGUGCUCUCAUAGACUGUGGAGGGUGCAUACUGAUAUAUGAAGUGGAUAUCUAUGGAUAUAUUUCUGUGUUUUUGGCUAACCAAAUGUAAUGGAUGCCUUCAUUAUUAAAAGUCUACUCCAAUA